UAAACCGUGCAUACGCACAAAAAGACGGCAUACGCUUGGUUUCACGCACACACGCAUGUAUAAAAAUGUUUGUGGAGACGCUGCAUUAUAAACUGAUACACCACGUACAUCUGAACAUAUGAGGAUAAUAUCAGAGAGGACAUCGAAGACCAAACUGAUCCUGUGUGCAAACACACACACACACACACACACUCACUCACACACACUACAAACCUGUUUGUGUGUGAGUGAGUGAGACUCACAUAUUUUGAGCAAAUCACUCUGAAAUUGAUUUUCCACAGAUUAAUCUUUUCUUUAUGUAACAGCGAUGUAAAUAGACACACAGCUGCUGACAUGAACACAUGUCAGUCUAUGACGUUUUAAACGCUUCAAAAUAAAGUUACGGACUCAUUUGUUAUAAGAAAAUGGGACUUGAA